rnacentral:rRNA from 1 species
GAUGAACGCUGGCGGCGUGCCUAAUACAUGCAAGUCGAGCGAACAGAUGAGGAGCUUGCUCCUCUGACGUUAGCGGCGGACGGGUGAGUAACACGUGGAUAACCUACCUAUAAGACUGGGAUAACUUCGGGAAACCGGAGCUAAUACCGGAUAAUAUAUUGAACCGCAUGGUUCAAUAGUGAAAGACGGUUUUGCUGUCACUUAUAGAUGGAUCCGCGCCGCAUUAGCUAGUUGGUAAGGUAACGGCUUACCAAGGCGACGAUGCGUAGCCGACCUGAGAGGGUGAUCGGCCACACUGGAACUGAGACACGGUCCAGACUCCUACGGGAGGCAGCAGUAGGGAAUCUUCCGCUAUGGGCGAAAGCCUGACGGAGCAACGCCGCGUGAGUGAUGAAGGUCUUCGGAUCGUAAAACUCUGUUAUUAGGGAAGAACAAAUGUGUAAGUAACUAUGCACGUCUUGACGGUACCUAAUCAGAAAGCCACGGCUAACUACGUG